rnacentral:tRNA from 1 species
CAGGGGUUAGUUUAUGAAAAUAUUAGUUUUGGGGACUUAAGAUAGAGAAAUUUCUCUACCCCUGA